rnacentral:lncRNA from 1 species
UUGUCAUCCACAAGCUCCCAGCUGACCUCCUUUUCAGACUAUCCUUAGCAUUACCCGCUUAACUUUCACUCUUUUGCACAGCCAACAGCAGACAUCCUCACUGCAACAUCAGCAUUCAAUCUUAUGCAUUAAGCCUGUCCAUAAUUCACCGACGCAUCAUCAUUCGAAUCCCCCAAGCAGCAAUUGGAACAUUUAAUUAAUUUAAUUAAGUGAAGGAUUAACUGCCGAGAUCGAAAAUUCCCAUAGGGGAGGAAUGUGAAUUGCUGGCAACCAGAGGCGCUCAUCAAUAGGUAACAGUGGCCUACUCCUCGGCAAAAACUUCAACGUGAAGUCAGAGAUAGAGCUGGAGCUGGGAGCUGGGAGCUGGAAGCUAAUCAAGCGGCAUUCAGGCAAUGGCAACGCUUUGCUAUGCAGUCAGCACGCUUUAUAAAAUAGUGAUUGGCGGGUAGGCGGAGAACGGUCAAAGAGGGAGUUUGGGAACCGAUUCAUCCUACUUUUGAUUGCACCCGUAAGUGCCAUAUUGUCGCCGUUUGAUCAAUCAAAGCAGCCGCCGCUAGGAGGCAUUGGCAUUUCAUGGAGAAGCAACAGACAGAUAGAUAUACGGACAGACGGACGAACGGACGGACGGACGUACAGACAGAUCAGGUAAAUGUAACUCAAUCUCCCUGUUACGUAACUUGUUUCCACUCGAUGCUGAACUUGCAGUAGCAAUUAGCUUUCAAUCUCCUCUGCCUGCUUGGGUCGAUCGGUUCUACUCUUUUGCGCAUCGAUGAUGUCUGGGAGCUUCGCUAAUUGACAAUAUUUAUGAACACGUACGCAUUUUAUCGCCCCCAGUCCCGUAAUUGGGAACGAACGCCGUCGUCGCCCACAGAUGCUCCUGAUGCUAGCUGCUCGGCUGCGCGGCUGAUGGGCCAAUUAUUUUCAUCAAAAUUGUUGACAGUCCUCAACACGCCUACAAUGAAGAGAUCUGCGCGAUCUUAGCGUUCUCCAGCUCAAGCUCUUUCGCUCUGUAGAACCACGUUUUGGUUAUACGAAUGCCAAACUGUGCCAUAAAUUUUCACUAGAUGAGAGAUUCUAUGGGGCGUCAUUAGGUUCAUUAGGUGUCAUCACUGUUAGCCGUAUGCCGUUUUCUCAGUUUUGCUUGCUGUAAUUAAAUUUACUUGAAUGGGCACAUAAAAGCAUUAUUAGUGUUCAGACGCUUCAAGUGCGAGACGCUUCUAACGCGUCACAACUUUUAUUCCCGGUACUCAGCAGUACUCUGUAACUAAGAGGUUUUUUCAAAAUAUACAUAUAACAUUUUUUUUACAUAUUGUAUCUUCAACUACAUCAGUGUGAUAUCAGUGUGACAUCACAGUAGUCUAGAGGCAAAAUUCGGUAUCUGUAGCUUUUAUAGUCUCUGAGAACUAUCCGACAAACAAGACGGACAGAUGGACAAACAGACAGACAUAGACUCGGCUACUGAUGCUGAUCAAAACUGAAUAUACUUUAGAUAUCGGAAACGUUUCCUUCUGUGCGUUACAUACAUCCACUUUUGUGCAUAAAUUCAAUAUACC